rnacentral:rRNA from 1 species
AAAACUGAGAGUUUGAUCCUGGCUCAGAGCGAACGCUGGCGGCGUGCUUAACACAUGCAAGUCACACGGAGUUAUGAAGGGGUAACCUGACAUAACUAAGUGGCGGACGGGUGAGUAACGCGUAGGUGACCUGCCCUUGUGCCUGGGAUAACCACUGGAAACGGUGGAUAAUACCGGAUAAGACCACGAUCAGGUAAUGAUAGUGGGAAAAGGAGUAAUCUGCACAAGGAUGGGCCUGCGUCCUAUCAGGUAGUUGGUAAGGUAAAGGCUUACCAAGCCUAAGACGGGUAGCCGGUCUGAGAGGUUUUCCCUACACUGGAUGGACCUACAAACAAUAUACAUUCAUUACCCCUGGAUAAAACAGCACCAUGAAAUAAUAUCCCGCCUUUUCUUUUGCGCAAUGGGCGAAAGCCUGAUGCAGCGACGCCGCGUGGGGGAUGAAGGCCUUCGGGUUGUAAACCCCUUUUGUAAGGGAAGAUAAUGACGGUACCUUAAGAAUAAGCCACGGCUAACUCUGUGCCAGCAGCCGCGGUAAGACAGAGGUGGCAAGCGUUGCUCGGAAUCACUGGGCUUAAAGGGCGCGUAGGCGGUUAAUCAAGUUUAGGGUGGAAUGCAUGGGCUCAACCUGUGAAUUGCCUUGAAAACUGGUUGACUUGAGUAAGCGAGGGGAUGGCGGAAUUCCUGGUGUAGCGGUGAAAUGCGUAGAUAUCAGGAGUUGAGAUGCCAAGAACUGACAUGAUUGAUAUAAAAGAGGCACAGGAAGUGUUCAUCGACUGCCUGAAAUCCCGCGGACUGCGCUACACGAGCCAGCGGGAGGCCAUACUG